rnacentral:tRNA from 1 species
UGAGGCAUAGCUCAGUUGGUAGAGCACUUGCCUUGAUCGCAUGCACAAAGCACUGGGUUCAAUCCCCAGCACCACAC